UUUCCGUAGGUGAACCUGCGGAAGGAUCAUUAAAGAGUAAGGGUCUUCGGGCCCGACCUCCAACCCUUUGUUUAACUACCAUGUUGCUUUGGCGGGCCCGUCUCACGACCGCCGGAAGUUUGGCUUCGACCAAACUUCUGGCCCGUGCCCGUCAGUGGCCCCUUCAAAUUCUUGAUCAAGUAUGAUGUCUUAGUUAAAAACUUAAUAGUUAAAACUUUCAACAACGAAUCUCUUGGUUCUG
rnacentral:misc_RNA from 1 species